CGCCAAACAGCUAGCUCACCUUAACAACAUCAACACACCCCUAUUUAUAACCCUAAACUAUCCCUUUACUCAUCAACCAAACCAUUUUCCCCCCUAAGUACGGGCGACGAAAAAGGAUCCAGAAGCAAUAGAGAAAGUACCGCAAGGGAAAGCUGAAAGAGAAAUGAAACAACUCAGCAAAGCACUAAAAAGCAGAGAUUCCUCCUCGUACCUUUUGCAUCAUGAUUUAGUAAGAAACCCUUAAGCAAAGUGAACUAUAGUUUAAUUCCCCGAAACUAAGUGAGCUACUCCAAGCCAGCCUAAUAUAGGGCAACCCCGUCUCUGUGGCAAAAGAGUGGGAUGAGCUUCGAGUAGCGGUGACAGACCUACCGAACUUAGUUAUAGCUGGUUGCCUGAGAACUGAAUAGAAGUUCAGCCCUUUAAAUUCUUCCCUCAACUAUAGGCCCACCGCCUAUUCCAGAAAAUAAGAAGUUAAAGGAGUUAGUCAAAGGGGGUACAGCCCCUUUGAAACAAGACACAACUUUCCCAGUAGGAUAAAGAUCAUAUGAGCCCCAAGGUAUAUGCCCCCGUGGGCCUAAAAGCAGCCACCAAGACAGAAAGCGUUAAAGCUCGAGCAUUCAAUACUUACCCCCAAUACCGAUAAUAACAUCUUAAUCCGCUACUCUUACCAGGCUAUUCCACAACACCUGUGGAAGCAACUAUGCUAAUAUGAGUAAUAAGAGAGCUUUCGCCUCUCUCCCAGCACACACGUACAUCGGAACGAACCCCCACCGAAAAUUAACGCCCCCAAAUACAAGAGGGGACUGGAUAAAAAAUAAACAACCAGAAAACCAUCCAACCACCCACCGUUACCCCCACACUGGUGUGCCUCAAGGGAAAGACUAAAAGAAAAAGAAGGAACUCGGCAAACACAAGCCUCGCCUGUUUACCAAAAACAUCGCCUCUUGACACACCCAUAUAAGAGGUCCCGCCUGCCCAGUGACUAUAAGUUCAACGGCCGCGGUAUUUUGACCGUGCAAAGGUAGCGCAAUCACUUGUCUUUUAAAUGAAGACCUGUAUGAAUGGCACCACGAGGGCUUAACUGUCUCCUUUUUCCUGUCAAUGAAAUUGAUCUCCCCGUGCAGAAGCGGGGNUUUUAACAUAAGACGAGAAGACCCUAUGGAGCUUCAGGCUCCAGAACAGACUAUGUUAAACACCCUUCCACAAAAGACAAAACUUAUUAGGCCCUGUUCCAAUGCCUUUGGUUGGGGCGACCGCGGGGAAACGAAAAACCCCCAUACGGACCGGGAGCAUCACUCCUCCCACAACCCAGAGCAACACCUCUAAGUAACAGUACAUCUGACCAAUAAAUGAUCCGGCACAGCCGAUCAACGGACCGAGUUACCCUAGGGAUAACAGCGCAAUCCCCUUCUAGAGCCCAUAUCGACAAGGGGGUUUACGACCUCGAUGUUGGAUCAGGACAUCCUAUUGGUGCAGCCGCUAUUAAGGGUUCGUUUGUUCAACGAUUAAAGUCCUACGUGAUCUGAGUUCAGACCGGAGUAAUCCAGGUCAGUUUCUAUCUAUGACAUGAUCUUUUCUAGUACGAAAGGACCGAAAAGAAGAGGCCCAUGUUCAAAACACGCCUCCCCCUUACCUAAUGAAACCAACUAAAAUAGGCAAAAGGGCAUGCACCCUUUAGCUUAAGAGAAUAGCCU
rnacentral:rRNA from 1 species